CCUAUAAGACUGGGAUAACUUCGGGAAACGGGAGCUAAUACCGGAUAACAUUUUGGAACCGCAUGGUUCUAAAGUGAAAGAUGGUUUUGCUAUCACUUAUAGAUGGACCCGCGCCGUAUUAGCUAGUUGGUAAGGUAACGGCUUACCAAGGCAACGAUACGUAGCCGACCUGAGAGGGUGAUCGGCCACACUGGAACUGAGACACGGUCCAGACUCCUACGGGAGGCAGCAGUAGGGAAUCUUCCGCAAUGGGCGAAAGCCUGACGGAGCAACGCCGCGGGAGUGAUGAAGGGUUUCGGCUCGUAAAACUCUGUUAUUAGGGAAGAACAAAUGUGUAAGUAACUAUGCACAUCUUGACGGUACCUAAUCAGAAAGCCACGGCUAACUACGUGCCAGCAGCCGCGGUAAUACGUAGGUGGCAAGCGUUAUCCGGAAUUAUUGGGCGUAAAGCGCGCGUAGGCGGUUUCUUAAGUCUGAUGUGAAAGCCCACGGCUCAACCGUGGAGGGUCAUUGGAAACUGGGAAACUUGAGUGCAGAAGAGGAAAGUGGAAUUCCAUGUGUAGCGGUGAAAUGCGCAGAGAUAUGGAGGAACACCAGUGGCGAAGGCGACUUUCUGGUCUGUAACUGACGCUGAUGUGCGAAAGCGUGGGGAUCAAACAGGAUUAGAUACCCUGGUAGUCCACGCCGUAAACGAUGAGUGCUAAGUGUUAGGGGGUUUCCGCCCCUUAGUGCUGCAGCUAACGCAUUAAGCACUCCGCCUGGGGAGUACGACCGCAAGGUUGAAACUCAA
rnacentral:rRNA from 1 species